rnacentral:rRNA from 1 species
CCUACGGGAGGCAGCAGUGGGGAAUAUUGGACAAUGGGCGAAAGCCUGAUCCAGCAAUGCCGCGUGAGUGAUGAAGGCCUUAGGGUUGUAAAGCUCUUUUACCAGGGAUGAUAAUGACAGUACCUGGAGAAUAAGCUCCGGCUAACUCCGUGCCAGCAGCCGCGGUAAUACGGAGGGAGCUAGCGUUGUUCGGAAUUACUGGGCGUAAAGAGUACGUAGGCGGUUAUUCAAGUCAGAGGUGAAAGCCCGGGGCUCAACCCCGGAACUGCCUUUGAAACUAGAUAGCUAGAAUCUUGGAGAGGUCAGUGGAAUUCCGAGUGUAGAGGUGAAAUUCGUAGAUAUUCGGAAGAACACCAGUGGCGAAGGCGACUGACUGGACAAGUAUUGACGCUGAGGUACGAAAGCGUGGGGAGCAAACAGGAUUAGAUACCCUGGUAGUCCACGCCGUAAACGAUGAUAACUAGUUGUUCGGGCACUUGGUGCCUGAGUGACGCAGCUAACGCAUUAAGUUAUCCGCCUGGGGAGUACGGUCGCAAGAUUAAAACUUAAAGGAAUUGACGG